rnacentral:rRNA from 1 species
UACGAAGGGGGCUAGCGUUGUUCGGAAUUACUGGGCGUAAAGCGCACGUAGGCGGCCUAUUAAGUCAGGGGUGAAAUCCCGGGGCUCAACCCCGGAACUGCCUUUGAUACUGGUAGUCUCGAGUCCGGAAGAGGUGAGUGGAAUUCCGAGUGUAGAGGUGAAAUUCGUAGAUAUUCGGAGGAACACCAGUGGCGAAGGCGGCUCACUGGUCCGGUACUGACGCUGAGGUGCGAAAGCGUGGGGAGCAAGCAGG